CGCGUAGGCGGUCUUGUCAGUCCCUUGUGAAAUCCCCCGGCUCAACUGGGGAACUGCAAGGGAAACAGCAGGGCUUGAGUUCGGGAGAGGGAAGCGGAAUUCGGGUGUAGCGGUGAAAUGCGUAGAUAUCCGGAGGAACACCGGUGGCGAAGGCGGCUUCCUGGACCGACACUGACGCUGAGGCGCGAAAGCUAGGGGAGCAAACG
rnacentral:rRNA from 1 species